GGCUCUUUGUAAUAAAUUAUGAAAUAAAGAGUCGGACCUGCCCGGUGACUUGUAGUUAAACGGCCGCGGUACUCUGACCGUGCAAAGGUAGCAUAAUCACUUGCCUUUUAAUUGGAGGCUUGUAUGAAUGGUUUGACGAGAACUAAGCUGUCUCCUUUAAAAUAUUUAAAAAUUAACUUUUAGGUGAAGAGGCCUAAAUAUGUUUAAGGGACAAGAAGACCCUGUUGAGCUUUAGUGACAUAAUGAAUUGUUAAUAAUUUAUUUGAAGGUUGCAUUUAUAUUGUAAAUUAAAUUUGUUAUUAAUCUUUAGUUGGGGCGACUGAGGAACUAACUGAGCUUCCUUUAGAAUAUAUAUUUGUAUAAUAAAACAUACAGGUUACACGGGAUCCAGUAUUAUUAAUACUGAUUAAAGGAAAAAGUUACCACAGGGAUAACAGCGUAAUCUUUCUGGAGAGUUCUUAUCGAAAGAAGGGUUUGCGACCUCGAUGUUGGACUAAGAUAUCCUGAAGGUGUAGAAGUCUUCGAUGGUUGGUCUGUUCGACCAUUAAAAUCUU
rnacentral:rRNA from 1 species